UACGUAGGGCGCAAGCGUUGUCCGGAAUUAUUGGGCGUAAAGAGCUCGUAGGCGGCUUGUCACGUCGGGUGUGAAAGCCCGGGGCUUAACCCCGGGUCUGCAUUCGAUACGGGCUAGCUAGAGUGUGGUAGGGGAGAUCGGAAUUCCUGGUGUAGCGGUGAAAUGCGCAGAUAUCAGGAGGAACACCGGUGGCGAAGGCGGAUCUCUGGGCCAUUACCGACGCUGAGGAGCGAAAGCGUGGGGAGCAAACAGG
rnacentral:rRNA from 1 species